AAUUUAUUUGAUUUUAAUAAUAAAUUCACUUUAAAUUUUUUAAUCUACAUGCAAAUCCCCAAAAUCUGUGAAAAUUAAAUUCUUAAAAAACUCCCCUCAUUUAUCAUAAAUAAAUAAAUAAUUCUAUCACAUCGCAGUAACUAAUACUAUAAAAUCAAUUAUAUUUGGAAAUGAAAAUAAAUUAAUAAUCUGAUAAAAUUUUGUGCCAGCAAUCGCGGUUAUACAAAAAAAUUAAAUGAAUAAUAUAGAAAUGAAUAAAGAAAAAAAUAAAAACAAUUGUAAAGUUUAAUUUAAUAUUUAAAAUUUAUUUUUCAAUUAUAAUAAAUAAUCGAAAGUUUAAACAAAAACAAGGAUUAGAUACCCUUUUAUUUUAAACUAUAAACUAAUAAUCUGGAUAGUAAAAAUGCAAAUUUAAACCCCAAAAAAUUUGGCGGUAAUUAAACCCCUUAGGGGAACUUGUAUGUUAAAUGAUAAUCCCCAAAAACCCUACUUUAUUAAGACUUCAGUAUGUAUACUUCCGUCGUCAAUUUACUUUCAAAAAAUAUAAAUAACAAAAAAACUCUUUCUUACGUCAGGUCAAAGUGCAACUAAUAAUAAAGUUAAUAUGAGUUACUUUUAUUAUAAUUAAUCAAAAAAUCUAUUGAAAUAUAUAUUUAAGUUGAACUUAAAUGUAAAUUAAAUAAUUAUAUUUAUUUGAAUUGGAUAUCUUAAUUAUGUACAAAUCGCCCGUCACUCUUUUCUAAAGAAAAGAUAAGUCGUAACAAAGUAGGUGUAAUGGAAAUUGCACCUA
rnacentral:rRNA from 1 species